AUUGAACGCUGGCGGCAGGCCUAACACAUGCAAGUCGAACGAGUGGCGGACGGGUGAGUAAUGUCUGGGAAACUGCCCGAUGGAGGGGGAUAACUACUGGAAACGGUAGCUAAUACCGCAUACCAUCGGAUGUGCCCAGAUGGGAUUAGCUAGUAGGUGGGGUAACGGCUCACCUUGGCGACGAUCCCUAGCUGGUCUGAGAGGAGGACCAGCCAGACUGGAACGGCGACACGGUCCAUACUCCUACGUGAGGCAGAAGUGGGGAAUAUUGCACAAUGGGCGAAAUCCUGAUGCAGCCAUGCCGCGUGUAUUAAGAAGGCCGUCGGGUUGUAAAGUACUUUCAGCGAGGAGGCGUUACUCGCAGAAGAAGCACCGGCUAACUCCGUGCCAGCAACCGCGGUAAUAC
rnacentral:rRNA from 1 species